rnacentral:rRNA from 1 species
GAUGAACGCUGGCGGCGUGCCUAAUACAUGCAAGUCGAGCGAACAGACGAGGAGCUUGCUCCUCUGACGUUAGCGGCGGACGGGUGAGUAACACCUGGAUAACCUACCUAUAAGACUGGGAUAACUUCGGGAAACCGGAGCUAAUACCGGAUAACAUGUUGAACCGCAUGGUUCAACAGUGAAAGACGGUCUUGCUGUCACUUAUAGAUGGAUCCGCGCCGCAUUAGCUAGUUGGUAAGGUAACGGCUUACCAAGGCAACGAUGAGUAGCCGACCUGAGAGGGUGAUCGGCCACACUGGAACUGAGACACGGUCCAGACUCCUACGGGAGGCAGCAGUAGGGAAUCUUCCGCAAUGGGCGAAAGCCUGACGGAGCAACGCCGCGUGAGUGAAGAAGGUCUUCGGAUCGUAAAACUCUGUUAUUAGGGAAGAACAAAUGUGUAAGUAACUAUGCACGUCUUGACGGUACCUAAUCAGAAAGCCACGGCUAACUACGUG